rnacentral:rRNA from 1 species
CCUACGGGAGGCAGCAGUGAGGAAUAUUGGUCAAUGGGCGCGAGCCUGAACCAGCCAAGUAGCGUGAAGGAUGACUGCCCUACGGGUUGUAAAUUUCUUUUAUAAAGGAAUAAAGUGCGGCACGUGUGGCUUUUUGUAUGUACUUUAUGAAUAAGGAUCGGCUAACUCCGUGCCAGCAGCCGCGGUAAUACGGAGGAUCCGAGCGUUAUCCGGAUUUAUUGGGUUUAAAGGGAGCGUAGAUGGGUUGUUAAGUCAGUUGUGAAAGUUUUCGGCUCAACCGUAAAAUUGCAAUUGAUACUGGCAGUCUUGAGUACAGUUGAGGUAGGCGGAAUUCGUGGUGUAGCGGUGAAAUGCUUAGAUAUCACGAAGAACUCCGAUUGCGAAGGCAGCUUACUAAACUGCCACUGACAUUGAUGCUCGAAAGUGUGGGUAUCAAACAGGAUUAGAUACCCGAGUAGUC